CUGCUCGCUUCGGCAGCACAUAUACCAAAAUUGGAGCGAUUACAGACAAGAUCAGCACGGCCCCUGCACAAGGAUGACAUGCAAAUUUGUGAAGCACUCCGUAUUUUU